GAUGAACGCUAGCUACAGGCUUAACACAUGCAAGUCGAGGGGCAGCACAGUGUAGCAAUACAUGGGCGGCGACCGGCGCACGGGUGCGUAACGCGUAUCCAACCUUCCCGUUACUCAGGGAUAGCCUUCCGAAAGGGAGAUUAAUACCUGAUGGUGUUCAAAUUCCGCAUGUUAUUUGAACUAAAGAUUUAUCGGUAACGGAUGGGGAUGCGUGACAUUAGAUAGUAGGCGGGGUAACGGCCCACCUAGUCUACGAUGUCUAGGGGUUCUGAGAGGAAGGUCCCCCACACUGGAACUGAGACACGGUCCAGACUCCUACGGGAGGCAGCAGUGAGGAAUAUUGGUCAAUGGUCGGAAGACUGAACCAGCCAAGUAGCGUGAAGGAUGAAGGUUCUAUGGAUUGUAAACUUCUUUUAUACGGGAAUAAAACCUCCCACGCGUGGGAGCUUGUAUGUACCGUAUGAAUAAGCAUCGGCUAACUCCGUG
rnacentral:rRNA from 1 species